rnacentral:rRNA from 1 species
CCCUGGUUGAUCCUGCCAGUAGUUAUAUGCUUGUCUCAAAGAUUAAGCCAUGCAUGUCUCAGUGCAAGCCGUAUUAAGGCGAUACCGCGAAUGGCUCAAUAUAUCAGUUUUGGUUCCUUAGAUCUUACUCAGUUACUUGGAUAACUGUGGUAAUUCUAGAGCUAAUACAUGCAAUCAGAACUCUGACCAGUGAUGGGAUGAGUGCUUUUAUUAGAUCAAAACCAAUCGGCGGAGGGCCUCGCGUCCGAAGUCGUAACAUUUUGAUGAAUCUGGAUAACUUUUGCAGAUCGCACGGUCCAGUACCGGCGACGCAUCUUUCAAAUGUCUGCCUUAUCAACUUUCGAUGGUAGUUUCUGCGACUACCAUGGUUGUCACGGGUAACGGGGAAUCAGGGUUCGAUUCCGGAGAGGGAGCCUGAGAAACGGCUACCACAUCCAAGGAAGGCAGCAGGCGCGCAAAUUACCCACUCCCGGCACGGGGAGGUAGUGACGAAAAAUAACGAUACGGGACUCUUACGAGGCCUCGUAAUCGGAAUGAGUACACUUUAAAUAUUUUAACGAGGAACAAUUGGAGGGCAAGUCUGGUGCCAGCAGCCGCGGUAACUCCAGCUCCAAUAGCGUAUACUAAAAUUGUUGCGGUUAAAAAGCUCGUAGUUGCAUUUGUGCUACGCACUGUCGGUGCGAUUCAUCCGAAUCGAUACUGACACGUUUGCGGAGCAUAUCGUCGGUGAAUCGUAUGUAAAAGUACGGUUCAAUAUAAAAAUCCUAUCGCGAUGCUCUUCAGUGAGUGUCGAGGUGGGCCGACAAUUUUACUUUGAACAAAUUAGAGUGCUCAAAGCGGGCUCAAAAUGCUGCUUGAAUAUUUCGUGCAUGGAAUAAUAGAAUAUGAUCUCGGUUCUAUUUUGUUGGUUUUCAGAACUCCGAGGUAAUGAUUAAUAGGGAUAACUGGGGGCAUUCGUAUUGCGACGUUAGAGGUGAAAUUCUUGGAUCGUCGCAAGACGAACAUCAGCGAAAGCAUUUGCCAAAGGUGUUUUCAUCAAUCAAGAACGAAAGUUAGAGGUUCGAAGGCGAUUAGAUACCGCCCUAGUUCUAACCGUAAAUAUGUCAUCUAGCGAUCCGCCGACGUUACUACAAUGGCUCGGCGGGCAGCUUCCGGG